rnacentral:rRNA from 1 species
AGAGUUUGAUCCUGGCUCAGGACGAACGCUGGCGGCGUGCUUAACACAUGCAAGUCGAACGGUGAAGCCCUUCGGGGUGGAUCAGUGGCGAACGGGUGAGUAACACGUGAGCAAUCUGCCCUUGACUCUGGGAUAACUUCGGGAAACCGGAGCUAAUACCGGAUAUGACGCAUGGCCGCAUGGUCUGUGUGUGGAAAGAUUUAUUGGUCAGGGAUGAGCUCGCGGCCUAUCAGCUUGUUGGUGGGGUGAUGGCCUACCAAGGCGACGACGGGUAGCCGGCCUGAGAGGGCGACCGGCCACACUGGGACUGAGACACGGCCCAGACUCCUACGGGAGGCAGCAGUGGGGAAUAUUGCACAAUGGACGCAAGUCUGAUGCAGCGACGCCGCGUGGGGGAUGACGGCCUUCGGGUUGUAAACCCCUUUCGCCAGGGACGAAGCCCGCAAGGGUGACGGUACUUGGAGAAGAAGCGCCGGCCAACUACGUGCCAGCAGCCGCGGUAAGACGUAGGGCGCGAGCGUUGUCCGGAUUUAUUGGGCGUAAAGAGCUCGUAGGCGGUCUGCUACGUCUGUCGUGAAAACCUGCAGCUUAACUGUGGGCUUGCGGUUGAUACGGGUGGGCUGGAGUUCGGUAGGGGAGACUGGAAUUCCUGGUGUAGCGGUGAAAUGCGCAGAUAUCGGGAGGAACACCAGUAGCGAAGGCGGCUCGCUGGGCCAUUCCUGACGCUGAGACGCGAAAGCUAGGGGAGCGAACAGGAUUAGAUACCCUGGUAGUCC